AUGAUGAUCAACCUAAAUAAAAUUAUACGGUUAGAACCUGAAUCUGUGUGAAGAUUAUACUAGGGCGGACUGAUGUU